rnacentral:misc_RNA from 1 species
UCGAGUUUUGAAACGGGUUGUAGCUGGUCUCAAUACGGGACAUGUGCACGCCUGACUCAUCCACUCUCAAACCCCUGUGCACUUAUUGUAGGUCGGUGGAAAGACUUGGUUUUUUUAUUAAGUCAAGUUUCGAAGCCUUCCUAUGUUUUUACUACAAACGCUUCAGUUAUAGAAUGUCAUACGCGUAUAACGCAUUUAUAUA